CUCCUUUUUUCCUACACCCCAUAAAAGGCCAUAGUAUAAGGGAGUUUUUCCAAUUAAAGGACAAUCGAAACGGGAUUUAUUUAUUUAAAGAUUCAGAGUCGCCACUUGGGAGAUUUAUGGUGUCCCAAGUCACCGGUUCAAAAUCCCGAAUCGAGGAAGCUGACUCUUAUUUACAGUCUGCGAACACAGAAAUUCGGGUAAAGAAUUCUGUUAACCCGGGAGAAGGUGUUAGGCAUUCCCGAGUUCCGUGGUUCUAGCACAGUCGGUUUGAUCAUACUUGGCUUUAUUAAAAUUGUUUAAUUACUCGAUUUUAGAACCUAUGUGCAUUUGCCUCUUUUAAUUAGAAAAUUAUCUUGAAAACAGGCCACGCGUACGUGUACCUAUUUGUUUGGCGCGUCAAAAUCAUGUCACGCGAACGUGUCCACAAUUGAUAAUGCUUUAUUAUUAUUAAGGAAAAUCUGGCCAAUGUUGCACGAACACAUAUUCCAGUUUUGUUUUUAGAAAUCGCAGUCAUGUCACGCAAACGUGUCCACAACCACGAUAGCAGAUUAAACGUACAUCAACAACACUUGAACUCCCAUCAUAAUACGACACCAUAGAACUGAAAGUUCCCUCUAAUUUUACAUGUCAAUGUAUAUAAAUCUGACUUCAACUGAUAAUAAAGGACUCAAUUAUCCCAGAACCUAGACAUAGUUGAGGAUCACAUAAUCAGAUCAAUUAUCAGUCACACACUGAUCCAUCCAUCAUUAAAUAGGACAAGUAAAUUGAAGAGUUCAAAUCUCUAACAGACUCAUAUCAAUAGCCUUAAAGCUAUGAUCUUUUUUCGUUCCACCCAUUUUUCUCAAGAUCAAUAUUAAAUAAACAAGGGAAACCAAAUAGGGCUUUUUCGAAUAAUUAACAGAUCCAAAUUUAGAAACAUUUGUCAUUUUUUAUAUCCAGGUUACGAAAUUAAUACGAUGGUCAUGAAUGAUUAAAGUGUAGAUGGCACACCUCAAACUAUAUAAAUUACAUUAAAUUAAUAGCCUAUGAAAACCCAUUUUAUUAUUAUGAGAAGAUUUGAUCGAAGAUGCGCGAACGCAUACUCCAAAUUGGUUCUAGAAUCAUAAUUAUGUUACGCGAACGUAUACACAAUCACAAUACUAGUCUAAAUUGAGCCUAAAGCAAACUACGAAUGUACAAUUAUUUUCCUAAAGCUAAUUUGAGAUUGUUGUGGAGGCCAAAGUUAUAGAAAUUAUUAUAGAGAAGUAUAAGAUUUAACUACUUUAGAAUUAACUACCUUAGAAUUAACUUUUAUGGAACAUUCUUUAUUAACUAAGAAAAUGAUGUAACUUAUAUCUAAACUCAUAUACACGUAGAAAGAUCAAUUCUUCCAAGAUUCCAUACGACCCCCUUAGCAUGAAAAUAUGUUGGAAACUUAAAAAAUCAAUAACAGAUCCAACAAUUAACAAACAAAGGGAAUCAGUCCAAUCUUCACGACAAAAAUAGAAUAAACAGACAUACACCCAUAUAUUCAUGCAUCAUAUACUAACAAAGAGAUAGGGUGAGAAAUGAACCUUCACGAUAUUGUUUCGACGCUCAACUAACAAAUACGGACUCGAACAGAAAACGUAGCAGCGCCGGGACCUCGCCGGAAUCUCGAAAGGAACUAACAGCCAACGAACAAAGCUCUAGCUGAACCCGAUCUCAACAGAAACGUUACCUUUGUUGCAGCAAUAACAGAGAAGAGACAAGACGACGGAAAAUGGGGGGUAGUAGCCGUCGCCGGUUUUCUGGUUAAGCUCGUCGACGAUCUGGUGGGACAGAAAACGAGAGAGAGCAAGAGAGCCUUUGAGAGAAGGCAGCUGUUACUUCUCCUUCCCGUGUUUGUCAAAGAGCAAGGAUAUCGAGAGAUUGACUCUUGUUUCUUGGUGCAGAGAAUAACGACGAUGGAGGUUCCUCCAAUUUUGGGGAGAAGUUGCUGGUUCUUGGCGAGGUCUGGUGGGGGAAAAAGGCUGGUUCCGGCGUGAGCUUAUGGAGAUGGAGCUAAAUUCUGGGGUUUUGUGGUGCUCUCCAUGAAGAAGUUCCAGAGGUUACGCUGGAGGGGUGCUUGGAGAAGACGACGCGGGGUGGUCCGGUUCGUCUAUUGCGGCGCUGUUUUGUAUGUAUCUGCCUUCAGCGUUCUUCUUCUUGCUGGUUCGACGAAGUACAGGAGGGGUCGUUUUAGAGGUAGGGUCGUUUGGAGAAGAUGACUCGCAAGGGGGUCGGUUUUCUCUGGUAUUCUUUUGAAGAAGAUGAUGCACAUCCCUUUAGCUGCUCUUUAGCUGCUGCUUCUUUUCGUUCCUUUUAGC
rnacentral:lncRNA from 1 species